rnacentral:other from 1 species
GCUUGACUGCCCUGUUCGUGCUUUUUGGGAUAUAUUGAGCCGAUGCUUAUAGAAAGGGACUGGUCUCUGUCGGCAGUGUGCAUGCCUGGUUCGCUAGGAAGCCUGACGCCGUUAUACUACUCCCACCUGAGACAACUCAGGUUCAAUUCGCCCAACUACACGGCAGGGCGGUUAUUCA